GUCUGCCGUAUGGAUGAGUCACGACAUCCAGCAUCCGUUUUCACGCUCACGCAGAGCGCUCGCCAGAACAACAAUGCUCCGCGAAUCGCACCUCAUGGACUACAGCAGAUGCGGCAACAUCACUGACAGGCGGAUCAGACUGUGUUCGCACCAGAGAGGACAUGGACAUCAGGUCCUUCGGUCAUGGUGCUCCACGCGAGACUUGGCUUCCAUGAUGGCGCUCAGCUGUCUGCACAGGAGGAGACGAAGUUGAUCAUGAGGAAAGUACCGGAAGCAGCCACGGUUGACGUCAUCACGGAGGCGCUGUCAGGACCGCUGAUGACGUCACCACCCAGCUGCCUGAUGGAGCAGCCAGGUUCAUCAGGUUCAGGAAUCAGAGCUGGGGGAAGGGGCUCCCACUGCGGAGGGGCAGCCACCCCCCCAACAGACCACGCCCCCGGGGGUAACAGGAAGUUCAGUUGGAGCAAACAAAGCGUUGCAACAGAUUCCGUCCUGUGAGCGACACUGAGAUUUCCCACGCAUCCGAACACACCAUCGGCUUCGCGCUACAUCUGGGGCUGUUACAACAAACCUCGCGUGAGACACUGGUUUUCUCUGCAGAACAACGACGCAGACACAAACCAGCGCAACCGGAUCGUCCCCAGACAAACCCGAACUUUAUCUGCGGAGCACGCGCUUCACAAACUCAACAAACAAAGAGCAAUAGCAGUCGCAACGCUCCAGAGCUGCAGUGACCUCAGGUAAACCCGCUCCAGCGCGCCAGCAGGACGCGGAGUCCGGGGAUCACGCCCGACCACUGACCAGAACCCGCGGUCCAGACAGUCAGCGGGGUUGAGGCGGAGCGUGACUCACCUGACAGCAGCGCUCCCGAGCGGGUCCCGUCAGAGUCCAGACCGAGACGCGGGUCCACAGCCGAACCUGCGCUAGCAGACUGGUUCAGCUGAGUGCAGCCAAAAAAAAAAGAGGCGACCAAGUAAAAAAAAAAAAACACAAACAAAGUGGAGCGCAGUCUGGCGGUGGUAACACGCAGCCAAUCAUAGACAAAGGUGUAGCGGGCGCCAGCCAAUCACAGAGCAGGUGGGGCGUGAGCGCUACGUGCGCGGGUCCACAUUGGCCCGCGACGGGGUGCGUGUCUGUCGGAGGGCGGGGCUGAGGAGUCAGUGGUGUCACCGUAAACCCGCUGAACCCGGUGAACCCUGCGCGCGCACCCACUGGGGGAAAGGUUGGCGAGAACGCGACGUGGGGCGCGGGGGCGCGCGUCUUCCGCACGUGAGCAACAAAUGCCGAGGAUCAUGAAGCGGUUAUGUGGUCGAUGACGUAACCGCCGCCGGCAGCGUGUUUGUGAGUUUGGAUUACUGCUCCAUCAAGCGGGGUUUGGACCCUGGUUCGGGAAUGGAGCGGCGCGAACUCGCGCAACCCGCGCAAUGAGGGGGCACCCUCAUUGUCUCCUUCCUGUGCCCCGCCCUGCCGGGUCCAUGAACCCAGAGACUCCUGGAGGUUGUAAACAUCCUCACUCCCGUCUGGUGCACCGGGUCGCUUCUCCUCCUGCCGCCUCAGGCGACCUGAAAGGACCGGGUCGAACCAGGCCACCACGUCGCCUCGGAACACCGUCCCCGCCCGCACUCAGCGAGCGGUGGGGCGAAGGCGGCACCGGGGUGACGGGAGGUCACUGAUGCGCUCCUCAUUCGCCUCAUCAGUCCAUCGACCUCGGAACAUCCCAGAACCGGGACCGUUUAGUUUCGGUUUUCAAUGAGUGCUGCCAACAUACAUGGCGAAUAAAGCUGCUUCGGACUUAGUGUGUGAGAGAGAAAGAGACGGUGAGCGGAGCGUCAGUACGAACGUCACUUUUUAAUUCAACAAAAGAAAUAAGUUCCGCACCUGCGGGAACACACGCUCCUUUGUUCUCGUGCUGGGAGCUGCUGCAGUGCCCCACACUCGCCGCUGGGGGGCGGGUCAUCUGAGGUAACAGAGCUCCGGCGAUGAGCGCCACUGAGCUGCUCCUGUUCCCGCGUCCAGCUGCUGUCACCAUGGCAACAUGGCACAGUUGGCCACGUUGCCAUGGUGACAGAGCAGCGAGUCCAGACAGCUUUGCCUCAAAGGACCCAAGUGCUGCAAGUCCUUGUCUGGCUGUUGUGUCCUAAAGAGUCUCAUGCAGGUUUGUGUGUGUAUGUAUGUGUCACACGUGGGAAAAAAAGGACGAGCCAAACAGAAGCAGGAGUGAACACUGGAGUCAGUCAAGACGUGCUGGUGGAGGACGGCGGCGCCCGCGUCCUGGUCCAUUUCCUGGUCCGUUUCUG